UGGCACAUGAUGAUACUGAAUCCAACUCUGAAAAUAGAUGUUGAAUAUGGAAUCGAGCUUUUUAAAUCUGAUGCUAA